AGAAGAACUCGAAGAAGCUCGCAAACGCAUCUCUGUCGCCACAUCCACAGCCACCGCCACCUCUGCCACCGCCUCUACUUCUCUCCUUCACCUGUUCGACCGCAACCAAACCAACCCCUCCUCCAAAUUCCACCGCAUCGGCCUUUCCCCUUGAAUCCUUCACCGCACAUUAUGGAAGUAGAAGUGAAAUUGCGCCUCCCCGACGCCCAUAACCACACCCGCCUAAAUUCCCUCCUUUAUUCAUUUCACCUCAAAACCCUUCACCAGCAAAACCUCUUCUUUGAUUCUGACGCUGCC
rnacentral:misc_RNA from 1 species